GGAGGAAGAGAGAAACAAUAGGAGCCUUGUUUUGACAGACAGCACUGCUAAAAAUAUACGGCGAUAACACAGAGGUGAAGAAAAGCACCAUCAACGCCCACUAGUGUUCUCUUAAUUUAGUUUAAUUAGAACUGCAAUUAAACAGUGCAGACAAGAUGUCUUUUGUGAUGAUAAACAUCUGUCUGGUGGAGAGCUGGGCCGGGCAAGUGGAGGCGGAGAAGGGAAGGGGAAAGAGACAAGUGGAGACAGAGGGAGGAUGGAGAACCUCAAGACAAAGACAGAAAUGUUGAGAAAAGACAAGAGAAGAGACACAAAAGUAGACAAAGAAAGGUAUGUGUCUUACUGCAGAUAUUGUGCUGCAGUGAGGUGAGAACCAGGAGUCUUCACAGGCCCACACACCAGAUGUCUCUGAAGACGCAGAGAGCAGAGCAGGGGGAGUUCUCCAGCGCCUCCUGAAUCUUCUCCUCCCGCUCCUCGUUGGUCCAGUUGGCUGGGGUUGUCGGCCAAUCGAUGCCCAGAGCUUGGAGGAAGGUGAUGAUGUCGCUGUCUUCGGGAAGCGUGGGGCAAUAGGACACUGCAAAUCUGAGACAGCGCCCCCAUGUGGUCAGCCAGCAGAACAGUCCUCAGCUGGCCCAGAGUCAGUGUAUCAGGAGUGGGUGUGUUGGGUUUAGGAUGCAGCGCAGGACAGUUGAGCACCACACAGCCUUGCCUCUGACUUGAGGGCUU